AUGGCUUCUAUCCUCAACACUGCUCAGGGCUUAAAGGAUCUGAGGCAGCUCAUAGAUGCAUCCGAAGCCCUGUUAUGUGUUGGAAAGAAGUAUUGUUUGGGUUUCACUGCCUGUUCGCUUUUGGCCCAUGCCUUGGGGCACAUCCUUCAGUGUCUCCAUGUAUUGCGGAGGCUGACCUGGUUCUCACUUGGAGAAUCAUCUUUUAAACAUGACAUGGUGGAGCCAUGCUGGGAGCAACUGGGAGAUGGUGGAAGUUUUUUCAGUCUUGGCACGGAGCAAAUUCAUUACAAUCAACACGACUGACUAAAGAAACGUCUUGGCAAUGUGCCCAUUAAAUUGAACUCAGCGCAACUGUUUAUGAGUCCCGUACAUUUUUAAUUUGCUUAUUUGCACAUACACUUUUUAAAAACUGUAUUCCCUUAUCUCCAUCCUCUCUUCCCAUUCCUCUCCCCUCACUUUCACAAAUAUAUUUUAAUUUCUU
rnacentral:lncRNA from 1 species